rnacentral:rRNA from 1 species
CAAACGACUCUCGGCAACGGAUAUCUCGGCUCACGCAUCGAUGAAGAACGUAGCAAAAUGCGAUACUUGGUGUGAAUUGCAGAAUCCCGUGAACCAUCGAGUUUUUGAACGCAAGUUGCACCCGAAACCAUCCGGUUGAGGGCACGCCUGCCUGGGCGUCACGC